rnacentral:rRNA from 1 species
UACGGGGGGGAGCAAGCGUUGUUCGGAUUUACUGGGCGUAAAGGGCGCGUAGGCGGCGUGACAAGUCACUUGUGAAAUCUCCGGGCUUAACUCGGAACGGUCAAGUGAUACUGUCGUGCUAGAGUACAGAAGGGGCAACUGGAAUUCUCGGUGUAGCGGUGAAAAUGCGCAGAUAUCAGGAGGAACACCGGUGGCGAAGGCGGGUCUCUGGGGCCGAUACUGACGUGAGGAGCGAAAGCGUGGGGGAGCGAACAGG